rnacentral:misc_RNA from 1 species
AGCUACUCGAAACAAUAAGUGACCCGUCAUGGUUAAAAUCGACAGCAGUGACAGGAUCGGAGUGCGCCGGCAGCACCCGGAGGCACUUCCCAGACUUAAUAUCCCAAACCCGGACCGUUUCAUCGUACGAUCCCGAAGCGAUGAGGUUGGAUUGGUGGUUGAAGGUGCAGCAGAAGGCGUAGUUGGUGUGGCCGACGAGGGUUUUGACGGGGACGGCGGUGGCGAGGUCCCAGAUGCGGACGGUGCGGUCGUCGGAGGCGGAGCAGAGGUAGCGGCCGUCGGAGGAGAAGGAGAGG